rnacentral:tRNA from 1 species
GGCCGGCUGAGAUCCGGCCGGCUGAGAUCCGGCCGGCUGAAAUCCGACCAACCGAGAUGCGGCCGACUGAAAUCCGACCGAUCGAGAUCCGGCCGACCGACCUCC